rnacentral:lncRNA from 1 species
AGUUGAGAUGUUUGAAGCUUGUUGAUUUGUCGGGGUGUUCCAAUCUCGAGUACUUCAGAGACAUGUGUGCUGGAAAUCCAUUAUUGGAUCGCGGAAUUCGGCUUCAUGGAUGCAAGAAUCUCUCCAAGAAAUGUACCAGUUACAGUAGGGAAUUUGAUUUGGCACUAAGGGAUCAUGGCAGUUAUGGAAAGUGUUUGGAGAGGGAGCGAGGGAAGCCAGUUCAGUGGCGAGAUCGGGUGGUUGCACAGUGGAAAACACU